AAGCGGCAAGUAAGCGGAAUAGACACGCCAGAGGAACAACGGGAAAGGAGAACCGAAAACGGUGGGACUGCUUAGCGUUACCUCACAAACUUCAAUAGAAAAUGCCUGCCGUAUUGCCUCAAGUUUCCUUCCUGCUUGUGCUUUUGACCGCGUUUCCUCUCGCUGAUGGAAAAUACGAUCAAUUUUGGCUAUCAACGGAGCUGGUGUACGACAAGAGGUGUGGUCACUACGACCCCAACCUGUAUGUGUGCUGCAAGGGUGGCCUUAAGUACAGCGCCGGAGUACUAGGCUGCUGCGGCAAGAUGAUCUACAGCAGAGAAACCCAUACAUGUUGCUAUGGAAAACUCCACGUUGGUGCCAACAUGACCUGUUGCGGACAUCGCCCCUACUACAAGGAACACCAGACCUGCUGCGCCGGUAUUGUGCGCCAUGGGCGCAAUUAUUCGUGCUGCGGCAGCAGAGCCUUCCAUCCGCACUACUACACUUGUUGCCAAGGUGUCCUCUGGUAUACAAGACAAGAUUACAUGUGCUGUGGAAAGAAAGCUUACAAUCCAUGGGUUUUCUCUUGCUGCAAAAAUCGCAUCCUGUUUGGCAUGUACAGCAACUGCUAAAUAACCAACCCGACGUGAAGCGCAGUUGCCACAAUAUUCACCCUUUUUAUUCCUAUUUAUUCAUUGGACUUGCCCAAAAACAAUAACUGUUUAACACGCAGACUUGCCUCAAGUUUUUACGCUAUACAUUUAUAUAUUGUUGUAUUUUACACAUGGUAUUUUUGUUAUUAUUUGGACCUUACACGUUUGCAUUUAUACACACAAUAUUGAUCAGGUAACGAAAACCUCCGACGACUUGCGUCGUCCAUAUGUGAUCAAUACUACUCGAUAAACGGUAUCAUUAUACCAACGUGAUAUUAUCUACCAGUAUUAUUACUUGGAACAAUGCCGUUUUCUGGAUAUAUAUUCUUCUAUAAAGCACAGCUUUGAUUCACUAUCAAUUUGUCAUUUAACAAGU